AAAAAACUGAAAAUCAGUUCUCCAUAGUAAUUAAUAUCUAACAAAACAAAAUUCAUUUGCUUUCACAAGCAAAUCUAAAAUAUUUUCCCAAUCUUCCAAAUUUUAAGUGUCAGAAGCGAAAGAAAAUGUCUUGCUGUCCUCCAAGCUGUUGCGUACCCGUUCCGGUGUGUCCCUGUGGACCUCCACCGCCAUGUCCGUGUGCGCCCCUAGUCGUUCCUUGUUGUCCGGCCCCUUGUGUGUACGUACCGGUAGUAUCCCCUGUGUGUCCACCGUGUCCUCCGUGCUCACCUUGCCCAGUACCAUCUACGGGGAAACCUGCGCCUAAGUGCAAUUGUCCCAUCUAAUUUCGGCCCAAAAUUUUCAUGCAUGAUCAAGUAAAUUUUAUCCCUUUCAAUGGUAGGGACACUGUCAAGACCUCAAGAACCUGUAUAACAGCUGGAGAUUGCAAUUACACAAAAAUAAUGUCCAAUAACCAACUCAAAUUUUUGCAAUGUCAUUUUUUAAAUGUUCCCACAAAAAGUCUUCGAAUAAAGUUAAAAUUGAG